GCGCCCGUAGCUCAGCUUGGAUAGAGCGACUGCCUUCUAAGCAGUAGGUCCGGGGUUCAAAUCCUCGCGGGCGCG
rnacentral:tRNA from 1 species